UGAGAAUUGGGAACUAAUCAAGGAUGACAUCUUUGCUGCUACAAAUGAUUUUUCACCACUGCCAGAAUGCCUCCAUUUAUCAACACAACAGCCAUCAUACUGAUAUCCAAAGUUAAAGUGCCUACAGCAGUUAAGGAUUACAGGCCAAUAGCAUGUUGCAAAAAAAUGUAUAAGAUAAUCUCCAAAGUCCUAACCAACAGAAUGAAGAAGGUCAUGGGUGACAUAAUUGGACAAACUCAGUCUGCUUUUAUAGAAGGUAGAAGCAUAAUAGAUAACAUACUCCUUAGCCAAGAAAUAUUCAAAGGAUACUCUCGGAAAGGUGUAUCUCCCAGAUGUGUGCUGAAAGUAGACUUAAGAAAGGCAUAUGAUACUUUGGAAUGGAAUUUCCUAAAGCAGGUUCUUAUUGCAUUAGGAUUUCCAGCAAGGUUUGUUCAAUGGAUUAUGGCAUGUGUCACCACUGUGUCCUACUCUAUUGUACUACUCUCUUGUACUAAAUGGAGGAUUAACAAAGACAUUUAAAGCUAAGAGGGGCAUUAGACAGGGGGACCCAAUAUCACCUUAUCUGUUUGUGAUAGCUAUGAAGUAUUUAAACAGAGAAUUGGGGCAGCUCCACAGGAAUGGAAACUUCAACUUCCAUCCUAAAUGUAGCAAGUUUAAAAGUGUUCAUGUAUAUUUUGCUGAUGACUUAUUAAUGUUUUGUAGAGCAGAUAUCAUCUCUAUCAGGCUGUUAAAUGUGGCAUUCCACAGAUUCUCCAAUGCAUCUGGACUACAGGCAAAUAUCAGCAAGAGUUCCAUUUACAUGGAGGUGUAGAUCAGAACAGUAAAGAGAUAAUACUUAGAACAGUGGGAUUCACUGAGGGAGAAAUGCCAUUUAGAUAUCUGGGGAUACCACUAGAUUCCAAGAAACUGGCUCUACAUCACUAUCUGCCACUAAUUGAGAAGAUCACUGCCAAGAUAACAUGCUCGUCAGCAAAGUUACUCUCAUAUGCUGGAAGAUGCCAGUUGAUUAAAACUGUCAUCUUUGGCAUUCAGACAUAUUGGGCUCAAAUUUUCAUUCUACCUAAGAAGGUGCUGAAAACCAUUGAAACUAUCUGCAGAACCUUCUUAUAGACUGGGAAAGCAAAUCCAUCUAGGAAGGCCUUAGUUGCUUGGGAGAAGAUUUGCAGACCUAAAACAGCAGGAGGGCUAAAUAUACUUGAUUUGAAGACAUGGAACAAAGCAGCAAUAUGCAAACACCUUUGGGACCUAACAAGGAAGAAGGAUUGUCUUUGGAUAAAAUGGGUACAUAACUACUACAUUAAGCAUAACACUGUUGAAACAAUGAAGAUCCCUAAGGCUGCUUCUUG
rnacentral:lncRNA from 1 species